rnacentral:rRNA from 1 species
AGUGAACGCUGGCGGUAGGCCUAACACAUGCAAGUCGAACGGCAGCACAGUAAGAGCUUGCUCUUACGGGUGGCGAGUGGCGGACGGGUGAGGAAUACAUCGGAAUCUACUUUUUCGUGGGGGAUAACGUAGGGAAACUUACGCUAAUACCGCAUACGACCUACGGGAGAAAGCAGGGGAUCUUCGGACCUUUCGCGAUUGAAUGAGCCGAUGUCGGAUUAGCUAGUUGGCGGGGUAAAGGCCCACCAAGGCGACGAUCCGUAGCUGGUCUGAGAGGAUGAUCAGCCACACUGGAACUGAGACACGGUCCAGACUCCUACGGGAGGCAGCAGUGGGGAAUAUUGGACAAUGGGCGCAAGCCUGAUCCAGCCAUACCGCGUGGGUGAAGAAGGCCUUCGGGUUGUAAAGCCCUUUUGUUGGGAAAGAAAAGCAGCAGGUUAAUCCCCCGCUGUUCUGACGGUACCCAAAGAAUAAGCACCGGCUAACUUCGUG